rnacentral:lncRNA from 1 species
GGGGACGCUGCAUUUCAUGUGUGCAGGUUCAGAUAGGCAGACAGGUACGCAUGCUCAUUAAGUGUUGCCUUAGUGCAGCUUGAUUGGUAAGCUCCAUGCCUUUUGGAGUUCCCGGGACUAGAGCCUUAUGUACAUCUCGUAUUCAUAUGUAUAUAUGUAAUGAAUAAGUCGGAGAUCUAUUCCAAUCACAGUAUAUCCAUCAGUAGAUGCUUGUAGACAUAUCAUGUCAGUUAGUGCAGCAUGUUGGGC